GCCGGGUGCGGUGGCAUGUGCCUGUAAUCCAAGUCACUGGGAGGCUGAGGUUGGUGGAUCAAGUGAGCUGAGGAGCUCUGGGCUGCAGCACACUAUGUGGAACGGGUGUCCACGCUAAGUUCGGUAUCGAUAUGGUGUUCCUGGGGGAGCCCGGGACCACCAGGUUGUCUAAGGAGGGGUGAAACCGGCCCAGGUCGGAAACGAAGCAGGUCAAAUCCCCCGUGCUGUCCAGUAGUGGGAUAAUACCUGUGAGUAGAUGCUGCAGUGCAGCCUUGGCGAAACAUCGAGACCUAAUCUUUC
rnacentral:SRP_RNA from 1 species